UCAACGAUGAGUAUAGUUGUGGUUGUUGUAUUACUGCUUUUCUCUGAUCCUUCCCAAGACUGCUUGCAAAGCUCCUUUUGUAGAUGUAAUUGUAUUUUAAAUGACGUUGACUUCUUAUUUAACUUGAAUAUAAAUUCAGUGGAGUAUAUGUGUAUCGUAGCAAGUCUUGAGAAGUCUUCAAACCUUUUCAGUCAUCUAAAGAUAGCAAAUGACUUCCUGGGGUCAAUGCCAAGGAGAGAAAUUAUCAGACCAGAGGGUAUGCACUAUUCGAUCCAGGAUCUGGAUGCCUUUUCAGCUUUUGCUGAGAUGCUUGGGAGUUCCAAGAUGAGUCCUGGCCAGAGAGAAAACACAGCCACCGUGCCAGUCUUUCCAGAGCAGGCCUGCAUUCCGUGGGCGGCCUGGGAUGGAGUGGGAUCCACUUCCCCCCAAUAGCUGUCACUCCAAGAUGGGAAGUGGUGUGGGGGUGCCAGCACUGGGAGGGUUACGUGUGUCCCAGUCUUCCAAAUUGUGCAAUUUCUGUGACCAGCUGAAAACCUCCAGGGGAUUAAGCAUGACAGGAAAAGAACAAAGAGAGUGUGGCCUUCAACUGCUUCCAUGAGAUCUUUCCCAAAUCACAGGGUGGCGGGAACUCUAUUAACCUUGAGGUCAGCAACUUCAAAAGCAGAAAGUGGCCUGGACUUCUCCCAAUUCUUCAAAACACAAGAACCCCCAUCCACUCCUGGGAGACACCCCUCAGUCUCUCUCCCUCAGUGCCAAAGUUGCACCUCCCCAGAUCCCUGGAUGCUUUGCACAAGAGUGCAGUGUCUGCUGUCACUCCAGACAUGGCUGACAUGCUAAAGAAAAAUUCCCAAGUGACUUGACUGUGAUGUGCACCUGAAUGUCAGAAAUGAAAAAAAAAAUUAAAUUGAAGAAAUACCAUUUAUUUGUAUUUUACCUUAUGUCAAAUAGGACACAAUGUGGCAGCACUUUAAAAUAGAGGAAAAUAAAAACUACAGAAUCUUCAAAAUAAGAAAAGCGGAAUAAGAAUAUAUCCUGAUCCGGGUGUUGCUAGGACCCAUGCUCUGAAGUGCCUGUCUCUACUGUGAACAGGCCCACAAAUUAGACAAAGAGACCAUUAAAGGAUUUGGCUGGGCUUGAAAACAAGAUAAAUUUUACUAGGGUCUAGAGACACAGGCUACUGAGUAUUGGACCAGCCCUGGCCCUGCGUGGCUCUAGGUCCUGAGGCAUAAUAGGGACACAAGAGUGGGAGCUGAGCCAAGUUUCCUGUUGAAGCCUGGGAUUAGGGGAGAGAAGAAUCACCCCUGUGUUGGGAGUCUAAGAAAUCUGAUUCAUCAUAGGAAUGAAAUGUAAAGGUAUAGUCCUGAGACAGACAAGGAAGAAUACAGGCACAACCUCAUGGGCCUUGUGGCCCCAGAUUGCUGAACACGCCAUGGAAGGUCAUGAUGCUGAACUGCCAAUAAAAAACAACAUUUCUGUACUGCAGACCAGGGAUCCAAUGGG
rnacentral:lncRNA from 1 species